AACCAAGAAACAAUGAUGUUUAGUUCAAGCACAUAGCUGAACAUACUGAUGUGAAGUACCAUGUUUCUGAGUUUCUUGGUU